ensembl:lncRNA
UUGCGCUCUGCGUCAUCCACGGUCACGGUCAAUAUUGUCAGUAUCAACAAUCGCUGUACGGUGAUGUCGAUCAAAUGAACACGUACGCGCUUGUAAGAUUUUGGACUACCGAGUUUAAAUCCCCGCCCCUGACUCUCGACUACUCGGUUGUACUAAAGAAAUGAGAGAAACAUAAGUCACUCUGGACGAGGGCGUCUCGCCGACGGCCGUAAAUGUGUCUGUUAAGUGUGACGUCUCGGAGAGAAGGCUUUCUACACGUCACGUCGUCACGUGUGUUUAACUAAACCGUACUUGACUGAUUUAUUAAGCAAACAAUGAGAAACGGUGCACAGCGAGCACGUGGUCUUAUCUCCUAAUUCUGCACACCGGCAUGAACCGGUCUCACUUUUAUUAAAUAAUGAUUAACGUCAGGUUACUUUGUUUGUUCGAGCGUUCAAGAUCACGCUCAAGACCUCUCUCGCGCUCUCAAGUUCAGAUAGCGUUAUUGGCGUUGAUUGUAUUCAACAACCGGUGUGGAAUACAGGAAGAAGGGCCGUUCUUAAGUAGAAUAAAGGAAAUCAAGAAGUAACCGACCGUGGUAGUCGUGAAAAAUGAGCUCGUUUAAAUGCGAGUCUAUCCGGUGGUGCUUGAAAGUUUGUGACCCCUUUAGAAUUUUCCGUGUAUCUGCAUAAAUACGACCCUGAAACAUCAUCAGGGUUUCACACAAAGCGGGUUAACUUCGUACGUAGUUCGUAAACCCAAUUAAACAAAUGAGAUGAUGAUAAAUGUUAUAUUUGGUGAUUUAUUUAUUGAGGUAAAUGAUCCAAUGUUACAUGCCCGUGAGAGGUAAAAGUAUGUGGACCUUGGCUUUUAGUAUCGGGUGUGACCCCCUUGUGAACUAAACGUUCCCUGUAACUGUUGAUCUGUCUGAUUUUGAUUGAUUGUGGAUUGGUGGAGUCCAAACGCUUUUGUAACCUUUUCCAGUCCGAUGAGCAUCGAGAAGGCUUUUUCUGAGGUCCUCAGAAAUGAUGAAAUGCACUUCUACAAACGGGUGGAAGAUCAGACUCGGAUAGAUCCUUGCUCUUUAAGUAAAACGCGGUGCGCACUCGCUCGCACCCGAUUUCACCUUCAAAUUGAACUGCUGAUCCUAGAGGUUCCUGUCCUUUUGCCAUGCAGAGACGUGUAAUAUUGGAUCAUUUUCCUCAUAAUCCCUCCAUUCAUUUUCUG